CGGAGGUCGGGAAGCUCCCUCCCAGCCCGGAGCUUGAACUUGAACGCGGCCGGCCGCUCGCGCAGGACCACACCGCCACCUCCCGGCGCGGCCCCAGAACCCAGAUAAUCCGUUUAAAGCACUGAGAAAAUCUAAGAAGUUUUUAGUAAACUGUAGCUGGUAUCAGGGAUCAGAUCAGCGGACACGCCCAUUCCAGCAGUCAGGGGCCUGCUCGGACCGUCGUGCACCUCCGAGCGUUUCUGUCCGGUCCCUCUGGGUCCGUCUGGUUUUCGGAGGCUUUCCUGGAAAAGCCAGCCUGUGGCUACCUCCUUUCUCCCCUAAGUGAUGGAGGAUUAGAAGGCAGAGGUUGACCCACAAUCUAAAGUGCCUGGUCGCCUUUUCCCAGAUUUCCCGGAGCAUUCCUUCACCCCGUGGCAUCGGCUGUCUGCAUAUGGGUGCAAGGCCCUGUUCCGGGCGGAGAAUAAACAGGAGUUCUGACUGACAGGAGCUCCGCAGCCAGCAGGGUGGUCACUAGUUCUCUGCAGUCUCGGAGGACAGCCCUGAAGAAGGGCAGGAGAACCAGCACUUCCUCCGAAAACUCAAAAGGACAUCAGUCUUCACCAAGUUGCCGAUACAAAACGUGCUCCUGAAAUGUGUAGUAAUGAACACCAGGAAACCUGGGUAGGAGUGUGCAUGGCAUUCUUCAUCACCGCUUGGACUGCAUGGCACUGAAUACCCACGGAGAGCAGGAUGGAGAAACAGUGUGCUCAUAUUCACAGGAUGGAAUCUAGCCAUUCACAAAAAUUCCAAAACAGGCAAAAUUAAACUGCAUUCUUUAGGGAAGCAUCAUUAAGUAGUAAAUAAUUGACAGAAGGGCAAGAAGGUGCUUACUCUAAGUGUCAGAAUGGUGGAUACAGCUGGGGGUGAGAGGGCUGUGACCACAGCAGGGCCCCUGGGGGAUUUGGGGGUGCCAGGCCUGUUCCUUCCUGCAAUGGUGCCCUUUGGCAGCCAUCCCUUAAACUGCACUUUUACUUUAUAUGCUUUUCUGUACCUUUACUGUAGUAUUUCACGGAAAUUUUUAAAUAAUCAUGAAUGUUACCACUUUCCUAUUUAUGAACCAUGCAACCUCAUCAAUCUUCCCAGUUCGCAGAUGCCCACCCUCUCUCUCUGCCCCUGUCUCCUUCACAUAUCCCCAAAACUCGUUUUGGCCCGAAAUCCCUGAGGCCCAACUGCCCUGCUGUCAGCGACUGCACGCCUCAGCAAAGGCCCAGAAGGCUCUGUCAUCACUGGCUGCCCUCAGCCCGCCUUCAGCUCCUUUGAGCGCUGUGUUGGGGAACUUUGUUGCAAGGAUUUCGUUCCAGAAGGAUCCUGAUGCUUUGAUAAGACCGUGGGCUCUAAUCACAGCCAGGGACAUUUGCAGCAGCCUGGCCUGCAGCUCUGCACACUGGGUGCACUCAGUCUAAAGCACCAGCUCCCCAUGAGAGAGAAAGAAGGGGUGAGGGGAAGUACAGAGAAAGCUCCUGAGGCCACAGGGCUGACAAAGCCCUCGGCUUUGGGGGCACUUUGUUUCUUCAAGACUAAAAUGCAGGCAAUGGAAUAAAUCAUUUGUUCCUAAAACAUGUUCUGCACAUGAUUAAAGCAGCUUUGGGAAGUCAAGUAAAUUGGGAAGCACUGGAUCAAACAAUGAUAAAUAAGUUUAUUGUCUGCAGGCCUUCUCAGAGCCUGUAGCAAGGUGAGAAGAAUCAUGCUUCUACAAAGAGGAAGGA
rnacentral:lncRNA from 1 species